rfam:Triticum aestivum genome assembly, contig: Triticum_aestivum_CS42_TGACv1_scaffold_543892_6DS
UCCACUACUCAGUUGGUAGGGUACAAAGCUGUUAACCUUGUGGACGUGGGUUCAAGCCCCAUGGUGGAG